rnacentral:rRNA from 1 species
CCUACGGGAGGCUGCAGUGAGGAAUAUUGGUCAAUGGCCGGAAGGCUGAACCAGCCAUGCCGCGUGAAGGUCAGUGCCCUAUGGGCGUUAAACCUCUUUAGGCGGGGAGCAAUGCCGGGCACGCGUGCCCGGAGGGAGAGUACCCGCAGAAUAAGCAUCGGCUAACUCCGUGCCAGCAGCCGCGGUAAUACGGAGGAUGCGAGCGUGCUCCGGAUUUAUUGGGUUUAAGGGUGGGGUAGCCGGAUUUUUAAGUCAGCGGGAAAAUGUACGGGCUCAACCCGGGCCGGCCGUUGAAACUGGGGAUCUUGAGUGGGCGAGAAGUAGGCGGAAUGCGUGGGGUAGCGGUGAAAUGCAUAGAGAUCACGCAGAACUCCGAUUGCGAAGGCAGCAUACCGGCGCCCGACUGACGCGGAGGCACGAAAGCGUGGGGAUCGAACAGGUUUAGAUACCCUGGUAGUC